rnacentral:misc_RNA from 1 species
GAUGAAGAACGUAGCGAAAUGCGAUAAGUAAUGUGAAUUGCAGAAUUCAGUGAAUCAUCGAAUCUUUGAACGCAUCUUGCGCUCCUUGGUAUUCUGAGGAGCAUGCCUGUUUGAGUGUCAUUAAAUUCUCAACUACACUGACUUUGAAUUGGUGCGGCUUGGAUUUGGGGGGAAAAUUGUUGUGGGCUUUUUGUAUAGUCUGCUCCCCUGAAAUUGAUUAGCGGUACCUUUGUGGAACUGUCUACAGGUGUGAUAAUUAUCUACAUCUUAGACAUCUGCUGGAAUGCUGCUUUCUAAACCUUACUUGUAUUGACAAUCUUGACCUCAAAUCAGGUAGGACUACCCGCUGAACUUAAGCAUAUCAAUAAGCGGAGGA